rnacentral:lncRNA from 1 species
AUGAAGAGAAAAGUAGUGAAUGCUGGCAAGCUGAGAUUGAGUCCUAAUGAGGAAGCCUUUGUUUUGAGGGAAGAUUAUGAAAGAAGACGAAAACUAAGAUUGCUACAGGUUCGAGAACAAGAAAGGGAUAUUGCCUUACGGAUUAGAGAAGACAUAAAGCAGAGGAGAAAUCAGCAAUUUGCUCGUUUGGCAGAGGAGCUAAGGGCAGAAUGGGAAGAAUCACAAACUCAAAAAAUACAGAACUUGGAAAAACUGUAUUUAGCAAGUUUAAAAAAUAUGGGAGAGGGACAUCGACAGGCCAAAGAAAAUGAACCUGAUUUGGAUGCUCUGGCACGGCAAACAGCAGAAAGGAAGAGAAAAGCAGAAAUGAGGCAUAAAGAGGCCUUGAAAAUGCAGAAAAAUCAAAACGAAAUACUAACGAAACAAAAAAACUGGCGUAUAAAAGCUCGGAAGGAAGCAUUGCUUGUAGAAAAAGAGAGGUCUGCCAAAAUUACAAGUUUGCCUCCUCCUCCUCCUGCUCCUUUUGAGGUAAAUUACUUAGAACUUUGAGAGAAACUGGGUUAUGACAACUUUAUUAUUAAACUUCAGUGGAGGACAAAGUAAUUAUUGUUUGAACUUAAUUUUUAAUUACAUAAGUAAUGCAUGAGUAAAUCUGGAAUACUUUGAAUCU